GGCUCUGCCAUUAUGAUUUGGGCUACACACGUGCUACAAUGGACAAUACAAAGGGCAGCGAAACCGCGAGGUCAAGCAAAUCCCAUAAAGUUGUUCUCAGUUCGGAUUGUAGUCUGCAACUCGACUACAUGAAGCUGGAAUCGCUAGUAAUCGUAGAUCAGCAUGCUACGGUGAAUACGUUCCCGGGUCUUGUACACACCGCCCGUCACACCACGAGAGUUUGUAACACCCGAAGCCGGUGGAGUAACCAUUUGGAGCUAGCCGUCGAAGGUGGGACAAAUGAUUGGGGUGAAGUCGUAACAAGGUAGCCGUAUCGGAAGGUGCGGUUGGAUCACCUCCUAA
rnacentral:rRNA from 1 species